AUGUUGCUCACGAGCUACUGGUUGGGGAUCACUGCUCUACAUCAUACCAAGUUAAUUUAAAGGUUCUGGCCCCUGUCAGACCACCCCUCAUACAGAAGCAACAAUCUGAGAAGCUUGCAUACCAUGCACUGUUUUCAUAGUUAAAACUGAUUUACUGCAAGUACUGUUCAUUUGAAAGUCUUUUGAUUGUUCUCAUCAAUUUUCUGAGAUCAUGUUAACAUAAGGAAUAAAAAGGGUCCUCUGUGCUUCAAGCCUCACUUUAUUAUAUUUAUACGGUUAUGCUUUGACAGUUGCACUAAUGUUAACGUUGGCUUGGAGAGCAAAGCCAGAAAGAUAUUAUGGCGGAUACGUUGGAAUCCAUUUCCCUUUCAGCGUUGGAACGAAUCCUCUUCAGGAGCUUGAGGGUUCAGAGUCUCAGAAUGCUGCUCAUAAUAGAAUCAAGACAGACUUCUAUUGAUUCCAUGUGUAGAUUGUUUACUGGACUCUCUUUAACAUCUACUGUAUAGUAUAUGAAUCACUCAGUAAAAUGGUGAGCAAUCCAAAUGUUGUAUAAUAACAGUGAUAAUGUUUAUGUAUGCAAAAUAAAGCAAAUAUAGCUGCA